rnacentral:tRNA from 1 species
GGUUGUGGCUCAGAGGUAGAGCACUUGCCUAGCAUGUGUGAGGCACUGGGUUUGAUCCUCAGCACCA